rnacentral:rRNA from 1 species
UACGUAGGGUGCAAGCGUUAAUCGGAAUUACUGGGCGUAAAGCGUGUGCGGGCGGCUUUGCAAGUCAGAUGUGAAAUCCCCGGGCUCAACCUGGGAACUGCAUUUGUGACUGCAUGGCUAGAGUACGGUAGAGGGGGAUGGAAUUCCGCGUGUAGCAGUGAAAUGCGUAGAUAUGCGGAGGAACACCGAUGGCGAAGGCAAUCCCCUGGACCUGUACUGACGCUCAUGCACGAAAGCGUGGGGAGCAAACAGG